ACAAGGUCCUAGAAGACCAUCCCCAGGGAUCACAGCAUGAAAGGGAUGGAGAGGCACACAUAUGAAGGAGCUGAACAGAAAAUGCCUCACUCUUCACCAAGUCAUUAGUGGAAAGUCCAGGAGGUUACACAGACCACCUGCGGUGCCGGCAAGAGAAUGAUGCAAUGAUGCCAAGGUAGCGAAGACGGCUUUAAACUAAAGUUGCUGGGGGAGGGGAACCUCAACCCAUCCCACUCCUACCAGUUUGAUGCCAGUGCCAGCAACAGAUGCCCAGAGCCUGCAAAAGGAUCACAGGUCAGGAGGAGAGCACCUGAAGUACAGCACAAAGGAAUUCCAGCCACACCAGCCAGAAGAGCCCACAGUUGGACCCCUGUGGCACAUCUGGAGCGUGAGUCCCAGAGCAGCAAAGUGGCUGCAGCAGUUCAGGUAGGAAGGGCCUUUCAUGUGCUUCGUGUGAUUUCACAGGACCAUAGCCAAGCCCUGCAGUCCCUCUCCUCCUUGCCUUGUGCCAGAUGCACACUUCUCCUCAUCCACCACAUGGAAAGUAAUAAAGACAGAGGGUGUGCAAACUCUUUGCUGUCAGAGCAGUGAAAAGGAGCCAGAGAUGGCUGUGACUCCAUUUUUCUGUCACUCAA